UAAACCUAACCUAACCUACCAACAGACGUUUCUGUCUGCUCAGGGGUCACGGUUCUAACCUAACCUAACCUAUCAACAGCGGGUCACGGUUUAAACCUAACCAACCUGUCUCUAAUGCCAUCGAAGUUCAAAUCAAACCUAACCUAAUUUUAUUAUUUUUAGAAUACUUCAAAUAUCUAGUUUUAUAAAUAUUCUCGUUCAUUACAAAGUUGAAUGUUGAAAUCUCUAUUUCACACAAUGGAAUUUUAAUGUGACUUUAAUGUAUGUAUAAUCUACUUAGUAAUUGAGCUUAUCAUAAUUGUUAGCCAAAUUCCAAUAACACGUAUUUAGAAGCAAAACAAGUUAUCAAUUAUCAAACAAGACUUUGUAUUGAAACAAGAUUUUUAAUGAUCAAGAGUUGUAUAUAUAUAUAAAGACCUACGACGAUUUCUUUUUUAUACUACUAUCGAUUGACCCACGCUGUACUCCUACACCAGAAGGCAUCAAUAUGUCGAACUCCCCAUCAAAUGUCUUCGACGGCCAAGACUAUACAUUUAAGCAGUACUAUUAUCCAGUGUCAGAUGCAUAGGACAGCCUAACUUGUGUACCAGACGAGCCGGUGAAGCGAAAAUUAAACACACACUCAAAUAUCGAUGCAUUCUUUGACCAGCCAAAGAUAAAGAGGAAGAAAAACGUGUCUUCCACUGUAGGAAAAGGCUGUAAAGGGGGUGGUAUAUCAUAUAUAUCUACAAACAAAGACGAUGGUACGAAUUCGACACAUCUAAUCAAAAUAGAAAUAUUUGAUAUGAAAAAACUAUCCAAAGUUUCUGAUACAACUAAACACUGGAUGUUUGCGGAUGUGCGUGCAAAAUAUUUCGUGAUGGAAAAUGAAACAAAUAAGCACUUACAGCAAGCUAAAGAUCUCAUUUACGGAAUCACGAAGGAGAUUUCCGAAUCCGACGAGUGUAAAAAGUACCAUUUUAAUUCAAAAGUCUAAUCACUGUUGUCUAAUUGUGAAUAAAAAUAUAUAGUUUAUA